UUUUAUGGAUGAGCAAAGAAACUGGUUUCUUUAGAUAAAAUCUACUCUUAGUGAAGAUGCUAUGAA
rnacentral:pre_miRNA from 1 species